GAUGAACGCUAGCUACAGGCUUAACACAUGCAAGUCGAGGGGCAGCGCAGUGUAGCAAUACAUGGGCGGCGACCGGCGCACGGGUGCGUAACGCGUAUCCAACCUUCCCGUUACUCAGGGAUAGCCUUCCGAAAGGGAGAUUAAUACCUGAUGGUGUUUGAAUUCCGCAUGUUAUUCAAACUAAAGAUUUAUCGGUAACGGAUGGGGAUGCGUGACAUUAGGUAGAUGGCGGGUAACGGCCCACCAUGCCUACGAUGUCUAGGGGUUCUGAGAGGAAGGUCCCCCACACUGGAACUGAGACACGGUCCAGACUCCUACGGGAGGCAGCAGUGAGGAAUAUUGGUCAAUGGUCGGAAGACUGAACCAGCCAAGUAGCGUGAAGGAUGAAGGUUCUAUGGAUUGUAAACUUCUUUUUUACGGGUAACAACCACAUCUACGUGUAGAUGUCUGCGUGUACCGUACGAAUAAGCAUCGGCUAACUCCGUG
rnacentral:rRNA from 1 species